ACGUUAUCAAGAAAGGUGGAGGGAUUAGACCCUAUGAAACCUUGGCAACCCUUUCCCUAACGGAUAAGAAGGUGCUACAUUCUAUCCCUUUUUUUGGGACAGAUAACUC
rnacentral:ncRNA from 1 species